rnacentral:rRNA from 1 species
AGGACGAACGCUGGCGGCGUGCUUAACACAUGCAAGUCGAGCAGAAAGGCCCUUCGGGGUACUCGAGCGGCGAACGGGUGAGUAACACGUGAGCAACCUGCCCUUAGCUCUGGGAUAGCUCCGGGAAACCGGAAUUAAUACCGGAUACGACCUAGGCCGACAUCGGCCAUGGUGGAAAGUUUUUCGGCUAGGGAUGGACUCGCGGCCUAUCAGCUAGUUGGUGGGGUAAAGGCCUACCAAGGCGACGACGGGUA